CAAGGACUUGGUUCACAGAGACUUCAACGAGUAAACCAGGGUCUGCUUGAAGGUUGGGCACUGCAGCAGGCUCUUGUCAAAAGACUGUGGACAAAGGCAUAUAUUAUGAGGAUGCUGGUCACAAUUUGUGCAAUACCUUAAAUGGGUCCACAAGUUAAUAAAAGAUAAUUUUUUUAAAAGAAAAUAGAAUGGAAUGAAAACCUCCUAGCUUUAGAUUAAGUUAAAAAAUGUAGUUAGCACCACCAUGAUAAGUACAAGUUCAUAAGCACCUGUGAUAUGCGUACAUGAAUAAAGAAUUUAAGAAUUUUA